UCCUCAUUGUACAUGCUGUGUGCCUUCUCGGUACACGCACAGCGCAUACAAUGUGGAC
rnacentral:pre_miRNA from 1 species